CCUANGGGAGGCAGCAGUGGGGAAUAUUGGGCAAUGGGCGAAAGCCUGACCCAGCAACGCCGCGUGAAGGAAGAAGGCCUUCGGGUUGUAAACUUCUUUGAUCGGGGACGAACACAAUGACGGUACCCGAAAAACAAGCCACGGCUAACUACGUGCCAGCAGCCGCGGUAAUACGUAGGUGGCAAGCGUUAUCCGGAUUUACUGGGUGUAAAGGGCGUGUAGGCGGAUCGACAAGUUGGAUGUGAAAUGUACCGGCUCAACUGGUACGCUGCACCCAAAACUGUCGACCUUGAGUGUUGGAGAGGAUAGUGGAAUUCCUAGUGUAGCGGUAAAAUGCGUAGAGAUUAGGAGGAACACCAGUGGCGAAGGCGGCUAUCUGGACAACAACUGACGCUGAGGCGCGAAAGCGUGGGGAGCAAACAGGAUUAGAUACCAGUNUANUC
rnacentral:rRNA from 1 species